rnacentral:rRNA from 1 species
AGGGUUUGAUCAUGGCUCAGAAUGUACGCUGGCGGCACGCCUAAUACAUGCAAGUCGAACGAAGUAGCAAUACUUAGUGGCAGACGGGUGAGUAACAUGUGGGUAUCUUCCCUUUGGUGAGGAAUAACACGAGGAAACUUGUGCUAAUACCUCAUAAGUCUUUACGGAGAAAGCUUUAUGCGCCAUUGGAUGAGCCUGCACUUGAUUAGUUUGUUGGUGGGGUAAUGGCCUACCAAGACAAUGAUCAAUAGCUGAUUUGAGAGGAUGAUCAGCCACAUUGGGACUGAGACACGGCCCAAACUCCUACGGGAGGCAGCAGUAGGGAAUCUUGCACAAUGGAGGAAACUCUGAUGCAGCGAUGCCGCGUGAGUGAAGAAGGCCUUUGGGUUGUAAAGCUCUUUCGUCGGGGAAGAAAAUGACUGUACCCGAAUAAGAAGGUCCGGCUAACUUCGUGCCAGCAGCCGCGGUAA